ACAAAAUCCUUUUGUCAAAGAAACAGAGAAGCACGCGUGAGAAAACAAAAUGAAAAUGGAGAAGAGAACCCGACGCCGCCGACAAUGAAGAAUGAAGAAGAAGAAAUUGAUGAGUAGGGGCGCCGCUGGAUGAACAAGAAAAAGGAAGAUCUGGGCUUCUUAAGGACGAAGAAGAAGAAUUGAUGAGUGGGGGCACCGCUGGAUGAAGAAGAAGAAGGAAGAUCUGAAAGAAGAAGUGGAGACGUUUCCUGAUACGCGUAUCCUAAACAUCAGAUACUCGUAUCUGUAAUGUCAGAUUUCGUUGACCGUAUCCGCUUACUCGGAUACGUAUCCAUCGCGUAUCCGCACGUAUUCACAGCGUAUCGUAUCCCCUAGCGUAUCGGAUACGGGAUACGCACCUCAACCAGCGUAUCCGUGCUUCUUACAAACUCGUUUGGUCUCUUAUGGCUUCGCGCGCAGGGUGUUGUAGGGCUCGUUUUUGGCAACGAGAAAUCUGGUUCUUCAAAUGAAGAUAGCUAUGUUGAACGCUUGCUCGAUUGUAUUAGCAAUGGUAAACUGUCAGAGGACAGGAGGACUGCUAUGCUUGAGCUUCAAUCUGUUGUGGCAGAAAGCUCUAAUGCCCAGCUAGCAUUUGGAGCAAUGGGCUUUCCUGUUAUGAUGGGCAUAUUAAAGGAAGAACGCGAUGAUGUUGAAAUGGUUCGAGGUGCCCUAGAAACUCUUGUAAGUGCCUUGACUCCUAUUGACCAUGCAAAAGGCCCAAAGAAUGAAAUUCAACCAGCUCUAAUGAACACUGAUUUGCUCUCCAGAGAAGCAGACAACAUUUCACUUCUUCUGAGUUGUUGUCAGAGGACGAUUUCUAUGUACGAUAUUACACUCUUCAACUUUUGACAGCUCUUCUCACAAAUUCUCCAAAUAGGUUACAGGAAGCCAUUCUGACCAUACCUCGUGGUAUAACUCGCUCAAUGGAUAUGCUUAUGGAUCGUGAGUGGCCUUACAGCCUAUUAUACCACUCCCUUAAAAUCAUAUUGUCUUCUACACAGUGAGAGAGAGAUUGCUGUGCGAGAGUGAUUGCUUUGCGAGGAUGUCUGAUCUAAAGACAGAAAUGCAAGCUUUCAGAAAUUCAAUAAACUCCUCCGAGAGGCGCGGCUGCAAAUACAAGGCAAUGCCAAAGUGUCCAAUGGACUCAUUGGGGAGCAGCACUGUGUCAAGCUUCGACUUAGCUGCAACGAAUGUUGCAGCAUUGUGGACCCGGGAUUGGGCAUUGGACCGAUGAUUGUGCAGCAAAUCCAUAAGCUGAGGUUGUGCAGCUGCUGAGGUAGGAUCUGGCCUCCUAAACAGACAUUCACUUCUUUAAGAAAUAUAUAACAAUUCUAAAAAGAAAUAACAAAAAACAGAAAAUAACAACCUGCAACAGAACCCUUAAAAAAAUAAAUAAAAGAAAUUAAUAACAAAAAAUACAGAAAACAACAACUUGCAUUGUCACAGAUGUGAAUGUUAUCAUUAGUUUAUUGUCUAACUUGCUUAUCAAGCUCAAUUAUACUGUAGCUAUGGAGCUGCCUUGGACCAAACAUUUUUUCAAAUUCAUACCACUUCCCUCCUUUAGCAUAUAUGUUAGAAAAUAAGGUGUGGUAUCCAGAUUCAUCUGUGCUAAUAUCUAAAAGGUUUCUUUCAAAAGCUUUUAAUCAUGUCCAUCCUUUGGUGGUCUCGAUUGCUCUGUUGAUGUACGUGACAGUUUGGUCUCGAUUGGUUUUGGGAUGAAUGAAAUGAAAGCAGUUUUGAUAGUGAGAGACUUGUUAGAAGAGUUCAAGGUGAUGAAGUUGGUGUUCUAGGAUUUUCCCUUUGAGAUGAUGAUCUUCUAGGAUAAGUUGCCUUUAUAUGCCAGUGUUAGAGAAAACUGUUUUCUUUUAGAAUUCCACUUUCUUGUAAUAGAUAAUGAAUUGACUUCCUUGAUUGCUAACAAGUACAUUAAAGAUUGGAUUCUUUCCGUUAAAUGCAUCAGACGUAUGAUUGAGUUUUGUGUC